rnacentral:rRNA from 1 species
UACGUAGGGCGCAAGCGUUAUCCGGAAUUAUUGGGCGUAAAGAGCUCGUAGGCGGUUUGUCGCGUCUGCCGUGAAAGUCCGGGGCUCAACUCCGGAUCUGCGGUGGGUACGGGCAGACUAGAGUGAUGUAGGGGAGACUGGAACUCCUGGUGUAGCGGUGGAAUGCGCAGAUAUCAGGAAGAACACCAGUGGCGAAAGCAGCUCUCUGGGACGGUACUGACGCUGAGACGCGAAAGCGUGGGGAGCGAACAGG